CGGGUUGUAAAGCACUUUGGUUUGGGGAAGGAAGGCUGGUUGGUGAAUAACUGAUCAGAUUGACGUUACCCAAAGAACAAGCACCGGCUAACUCUGUGC
rnacentral:rRNA from 1 species